UGGGGAAUAUUGCACAAUGGGCGAAACCCUGAUGCAGCGACGCCGCGUGAACGAAGAAGGUAUUCGUAUCGUAAAGUUCUGUCCUAUGGGAAGAUAAUGACAGUACCAUAGAAGAAAGCUCCGGCUAAAUACGUGCCAGCAGCCGCGGUAAUACGUAUGGAGCGAGCGUUGUCCGGAAUUAUUGGGCGUAAAGGGUACGCAGGCGGUUUAAUAAGUCGAAUGUUAAAGAUCGGGGCUCAACCCCGCAAAGCAUUGGAAACUGAUAAGCUUGAGUAGUGGAGAGGAAAGUGGAAUUCCUGGUGUAGUGGUGAAAUACGUAGAUAUUAGGAGGAAUACCAGUAGCGAAGGCGACUUUCUGGACACAAACUGACGCUGAGGUACGAAAGCGUGGGGAGCAAACAGG
rnacentral:rRNA from 1 species